AACGAACGCUGGCGGCAUGCCUAACACAUGCAAGUCGAACGAGAUCUUCGGAUCUAGUUGCGCACGGGUGCGUAACGCGUGGGAAUCUGCCCCUGGCUUCGGAAUAACAGUGAGAAAUUACUGCUAAUACCGGAUGAUGUCUUCGGACCAAAGAUUUAUCGGCAAGGGAUGAGCCCGCGUAGGAUUAGGUAGUUGGUGGGGUAAUGGCCUACCAAGCAGACGAUCCUUAGCUGGUCUGAGAGGAUGAUCAGCCACACUGGGACUGCGACACGGCCCAGACUCCUACGGGAGGGAGCAGUGGGGAAUAUUGGAGAAUGGGCGAAAGCCUGAUACCGCAAUGCCGGGUGAGUGAUGAAGGCCUUAGGGUUGUAAAGCUCUUUUACCAGGGAUGAUAAUGACAGUAACUGGAGAAUAAGCUCCGGCUAACUACGUG
rnacentral:rRNA from 1 species